rnacentral:rRNA from 1 species
GAGGAAUAUUGCGCAAUGGGGGAAACCCUGACGCAGCAACGCCGCGUGGGUGAAGAAGGCCCUCGUUGGUUGUAAAGCCCUGUCAGGCGGGAAGAAACCUUUUCAGGUGAAUAGUCUGGAAAGCUGACGGUACCGCCAAAGGAAGCACCGGCUAACUCCGUGCCAGCAGCCGCGGUAAGACGGAGGGUGCAAGCGUUGUUCGGAAUCACUGGGCGUAAAGCGCGUGUAGGCGGUCCGGUAAGUCGGGUGUGAAAUCCCGAGGCUUAACCUCGGAAGUGCACUCGAAACUGUCGGGCUUGAGUACGGGAGAGGGAAGUGGAAUUCCUGGUGUAGAGGUGAAAUUCGUAGAUAUCAGGAGGAACACCGGUGGCGAAGGCGGCUUCCUGGACCGAUACUGACGCUGAGACGCGAAAGCGUGGGGAGCAAAC